UACCAGCUCUCCGAGUAGUGUGGAUGUUUAUUGGGCCUAAAGCAUCCGUAGCUUGCUAAAAUAAGUCCCCUGUUAAAUCCACCGAUUCAAUCGUUGGAUUGCGGAGGAUACUGUUUGGCUAGGGGACGGGAGAGGCCGACGGUAUUUCUGGGGUAGGGGUGAAAUCCUAUGAUCCCAGGAAGACCACCAGUGGCGAAGGCUGUCGGCUAGAACGCGCCCGACGGUGAGGGAUGAAAGCUGGGGGAGCGAACCGGAUUAGAUACCCGGGGUAGUCCCAGCUGUAAACGAUGCAGGCUAGGUGUUGGGGUGGCUACGUGCCACUUCAGUGCCGCAGGGAAGCCAUUAAGCCCGCCGCCUGGGGAGUACGGCCGCAAGGCUGAAACUUAAAGGAUUGGGCGGGGAGCACCACAAGGCGUGAAGCUUGCGGUUC
rnacentral:rRNA from 1 species